rnacentral:rRNA from 1 species
GACGAACGCUGGCGGCGUGCUUAACACAUGCAAGUCGAACGAAAAGCGCUGGAUGCUUGCUUAUAUGAGUCUUAGAGGCGUGCGGGUGAGGAACGCGUAAUCAACCUGCCCUUCAGAGGGGGACAACAGAUGGAAACGACUGCUAAUACCGCAUACGAUCUGCUCUCGGCGUCGAGGAUAGUUGAAGGGUGGCGGCUACAUGUAGGCUAUCACUGAAGUGGGGGUUUGCGUCUGAUUAGCUAGUUGGUGGGCUAACGGCCUACCAGGGGGAUGAUCAGUAACCGGUGCGAGAGGAUGAACGGCCACAUUGGGACUGAGACACGGCCCAGACUCCUACGGGAGGCAGCAGUGGGGAAUCGUCGGCAAUGGACGGAAGUCUGACGGAGCAACGCCGCGUUAGUGAUGACGGCCCUCGGGUUGGAAAGCUGUGUUAAUCGGGACGAACGGCUUUCUUGCGAACAGUGAGAUGGAUUGACGGUACCGGAAAAGAAAGCCACGGCUAACUCCGUG